rnacentral:rRNA from 1 species
UUCCAGCUCUAAUAGCGUAUAUUAAAGUUGUUGCAGUUAAAAAGCUCGUAGUUGGAUUUUGGGGUCGGGCACGCUGUCGGGCUCUGCUCGGAUUGGCAUGACCGGCCCUUUCCUUCUGGGGACCGCAUUCCUCUUAAUUGAGGGGUGUUGGGACGCAGAUCGUUUACUUUGAAAAAUUAGAGUGUUCAAAGCAGGCAAUCGCUUGAAUACAUUAGCAUGGAAUAAUGGAAUAGGACUCCGGUUCUAUUUUGUUGGUUUCUAGGACCGAAGUAAUGAUUAAUAGGGAUAGUUGGGGGCGUUUGUAUUCCGUUGUCAGAGGUGAAAUUCUUGGAUUUACGGAAGACAAACUUCUGCGAAAGCAUUUCGCCAAGGAUGUUUUUCAUUAAUCAAGAACGAAAGUUAGGGGAUCGAAGACGAUCAGAUACCGUCGUAGUCUUAACCAUAAACUAUGCCGACUAGGGAUCAGCAGACGUUAUCAAUGACUCUGCUGGCACCUUGUG